rnacentral:lncRNA from 10 species
UGAAAGUUUUGGAAACGUAUUCAAACAAUUUGAAUAUAAAUUUAUCAUUUAGUUAUAAAAAUAUAUAGCGACAUCCUCGAGGCCCUAGCAUUUCUCCUUGGAUAGGGGACCAGAGAGAGCUUGGAAUGUUAAAAACAAAACAAAACAAAAAAAAACAAGGAGAAGUUGUCCAAGGGAUGUCAAUUUUUUAUCCCUCUGUAUGGGUUAGAUUUUCCAAAAUCAUAAUUUGAAGAAGGCCAGCAUUUAUGGUAGAAUAUAUAAUUAUAUAUAAGGUGGCCACGCUGGGGCAAGUUCCCUCCCCACUCACAGCUUUGGCCCCUUUCACAGAGUAGAACCUGGGUUAGAGGAUUGCAGAAGACGAGCGGGAGCGGGGAGGGCAGGGAAGAUGCCUGUCGGGUUUUUAGCACAGUUCAUUUCACUGGGAUUUUGAAGCAUUUCUGUCUGAAUGUAAAGCCUGUUCUAGUCCUGGUGGGACACACUGGGGUUGGGGGUGGGGGAAGAUGCGGUAAUGAAACCGGUUAGUCAGUGUUGUCUUAAUAUCCUUGAUAAUGCUGUAAAGUUUAUUUUUACAAAUAUUUCUGUUUAAGCUAUUUCACCUUUGUUUGGAAAUCCUUCCCUUUUAAAGAGAAAAUGUGACACUUGUGAAAAGGCUUGUAGGAAAGCUCCUCCCUUUUUUUCUUUAAACCUUUAAAUGACAAACCUAGGUAAUUAAUGGUUGUGAAUUUCUAUUUUUGCUUUGUUUUUAAUGAACAUUUGUCUUUCAGAAUAGGAUUCUGUGAUAAUAUUUAAAUGGCAAAAACAAAACAUAAUUUUGUGCAAUUAACAAAGCUACUGCAAGAAAAAUAAAACAUUUCUUGGUAAAAACGUAUGUAUUUAUAUAUUAUAUAUUUAUAUAUAAUAUAUAUUAUAUAUUUAGCAUUGCUGAGCUUUUUAGAUGCCUAUUGUGUAUCUUUUAAAGGUUUUGACCAUUUUGUUAUGAGUAAUUACAUAUAUAUUACAUUCACUAUAUUAAAAUUGUACUUUUUUACUAUGUGUCUCAUUGGUUCAUAGUCUUUAUUUUGUCCUUUGAAUAAACAUUAAAAGAUUUCUAAACUUCA